GGAGAGUUUCCAAUUUUUUUAUUUUAUUUUAUUCUUAAUGCUUAUCCGAGGUUUAAUAUUUCUUUUUACAAUCUCAUUUUGAAUAGCCAAAGUUAUUUUUCUAAUUUAUCACUCAUGGAUUUCAAUGUCCAUUUAUGCAAAAUCUGGUGCAUCUCAUUUUAGUGCUGUUAGCAUGUUUCGAUGUUUAUCGUUCAGCUUUAUUUUUUUUAAUAUAAU
rnacentral:lncRNA from 1 species